AGAGUUUGAUCCUGGCUCAGAUUGAACGCUGGCGGCAUGCCUAACACAUGCAAGUCGAGCGGCAGCGCGGGGCGACCCUCGGCGGCGAGCGGCGGACGGGUGAGUAAGGCAUCGGAAUCUGCCCUCGAUGUGGGGGAGUAACUAGGGAAACGUUACGCUAAUACCGCAUACGACCGAGAGGUGAAAGCGGGGGACCGAAAGACCUCGCGCUGAAGGAGCGGCCGAUGUCCGAUUAGCUAGUUGGGUGAGGUAAAGGACUUACCAAGGCGACGAUCGGUAGCUGGUCUGAGAGGAUGAUCAGCCACACUGGGACGUGAGACACGGCCCAGACUCCUACGGGA
rnacentral:rRNA from 1 species